ensembl:rRNA 5S_rRNA 5S ribosomal RNA
AUUGUCUAUGGCCAUACCACCCUGAACAUGCCCGAUCUUGUCUGAUUUCGGAAGUUAAGCAGUGUCAGGCUUGGUUAGUACUUGAAUGGGAGAAGAACCAGAUACAGGCAAUC